UACAGAGGGGGCAAGCGUUGUUCGGAAUUACUGGGCGUAAAGGGCGCGUAGGCGGCUCAUGAAGGCUGUGGUGAAAGUCCGGGGCUCAACCUCGGAUCGGCCGUGGCGACUCGUGGGCUGGAGCACUGUAGAGGCGGGUGGAAUUCCGGGUGUAGCGGUGGAAUGCGUAGAGAUCCGGAAGAACACCAGUGGCGAAGGCGGCCCGCUGGGCCGUAACUGACGCUGAGGAGCGAAAGCGUGGGAGCGAACGAG
rnacentral:rRNA from 1 species